rnacentral:rRNA from 1 species
GAUAAACGCUGGCGGCGUGCCUAACACAUGCAAGUCGAACGCCCUACGCAAGUAGGGAGUGGCGGACGGGUGAGUAACACGUGGGUGAUCUACCUUGAGGUGAGGAAUACCGGCGAGAAAUCGCCGACAAGACCGCAUAGCCUUGGGCAACCAGGGAAAGUCGCAAGACGCCUGAAGAUGAGCCUGCGUCCGAUUAGCCAGUUGGUGGGGUAACGGCCUACCAAAGCAGCGAUCGGUAGCUGGUCUGAGAGGACGAUCAGCCACACUGGGAUUGAGA